rnacentral:tRNA from 1 species
CCGUAGUUCAAUGGAUAGAGCAUCGGCCUCCGAAGCCGGGGAUAUGGGUUCAACUCCCGUCGGG